AGCUCCAAUAGCGUAUAUUAAAGUUGUUGCGGUUAAAAAGCUCGUAGUUGGAUUUCUGUUGAGAACGGCCGGUCCGCACUAUGUGCGUGUAUCUGGUUCGGUCUUGGCAUCCUCUUGGAGAACGUAACUGCGCUUGAUUGCGUGGUGCGGUAUUCAAGACUUUUACUUUGAGGAAAUUAGAGUGUUCACGGCAGGCAAGCGCCUUGAAUAUAUUAGCAUGGAAUAAUAAUAUAGGAUCUCGGUUCUAUUUUGUUGGUUUCUAGAAUCAGGAUAAUGAUUAAUAGGGAUAAUUGGGGGCAUUUGUAUUAACGCGUCAGAGGUGGAAUUCUUGGAUUGCGUUACGACAAACUACUGCGAAAGCAUUUGCCAAGGAUGUUU
rnacentral:rRNA from 1 species